GCGUGUGUGAAGAAGGUUUUCGGAUUGUAAAGCACUUUCGGCGGGGACGAUGAUGACGGUACCCGCAGAAGAAGCCCCGGCUAACUUCGUGCCAGCAGCCGCGGUAAUACGAAGGGGGCUAGCGUUGCUCGGAAUGACUGGGCGUAAAGGGCGCGUAGGCGGAUGUGACAGUCAGAUGUGAAAUUCCUGGGCUUAACCUGGGGGCUGCAUUUGAUACGUUGUAUCUGGAGUGAGGAAGAGGGUCGUGGAAUUCCCAGUGUAGAGGUGAAAUUCGU
rnacentral:rRNA from 1 species